AUCUCUUCUUGGAGAUUGCUCCUCAUGGAGUUUUUGUGAGCCUAUGAUGUUGCGAAGUUGAUCCAUCUCCUUUCUGUGUGCUCUUCAUUCUUUUUGAGCUCACCAGGGCUUUUGCACAGCAGCUGUUUCCAUCUGAACUACAGAUUAAGAAAGGGAAGGACAACAAAGAUGAAUAAUGGACUGGAGUAUGUCUUCUGUUGGGAGAGGCUGAUGGAUUUUGGACUGUUCAGCCUCGAUGAGAGGAGGCUCAGGAGGAUCUUACCAAUGUCCGUAAAUACAUGAAGGAAGAGCAUAAAGAUGAUGGAGCCAGGACAAGAGCACAUUUUUGUGAAACAAAGCGCCUUCACUUUUUUUCUGCUGUUGUAAUUGAUUCCUAAGAGAUCAUGACUGCUAUCAAGAUUUUUAAAAAUUCCUAGGAGUUAGUCUGUUAGGUUUCCUUUAAUAAUAUGUUUACAGAGGGAGAGGGAGUGAGAGAAAGACAGAGACUUUUUUUUUUUUCAUACAAUUCAAACCACUUUUCCUGUUUUCAAGAAUCAAUAUGACAAAAUUCUGCGUGCACCAAUGAAAUCUGGAAUGACAGAAUGGGGACACAGGAAUAUUACUUUCAUACGAGUAUGAGACUGAAGUCUCUAGACUGAAGUAUCAUACUUGGUAAAUAAAGAAAUUGCUUGUGUAUACUUGAUCGGAAUCUUGCUGAUCUGGUAUCUUGUGGUUAUGGACUUUACAGCUAGCAUGUUUAAAAUUUUCACUCAAGCUUCAUCUUUAAAUUCUGGUGCUUUAUGUUGUAAUGAUUGUGCUUUCAACCCUUUUAAAAAUAUAGACAGUAAAUAAAGAAUGCAGCCUUCCCUAAAAUAAAGGGUCUCUGAAAGUUCUAAUGAACAAAUAAACAUGCCCUCCC
ensembl:lncRNA